GUAGGUGGCAAGCGUUGUCCGGAAUUAUUGGGCGUAAAGCGCGCGCAGGCGGUUCUUUAAGUCUGAUGUGAAAGCCCACGGGCUCAACCGUGGAGGGUCAUUGGAAACUGGAGAACUUGAGUACAGAAGAGGAAAGCGGAAUUCCACGUGUAGCGGUGAAAUGCGUAGAGAUGUGGAGGAACACCAGUGGCGAAGGCGGCUUUCUGGUCUGUAACUGACGCUGAGGCGCGAAAGCGUGGGGAGCAAACAGGAUUAGAUACCCUGGUAGUCCACGCCGUAAACGAUGAGUGCUAAGUGUUAGGGGGUUUCCGCUCCUUAGUGCUGCAGCUAACGCAUUAAGCACUCCGCCUGGGGAGUACGGCCGCAAGGCUG
rnacentral:rRNA from 1 species